AUGUGGAUUAGUUACCAGCAGGCUAGUGACCAGUUAGCAGCAGUGCCCACCCCUCCCGUGCUGACGGUGUUGCCCCCCUCCCGUGAGGAGGUGUCGGCGGGGCGCAGUGCUACGCUGGUGUGUGUGGCCAGGGGGGGCUACCCCUCAGACUGGAGGCUGAGCUGGAGGCUGGAUGGGGGGGUUGAGGGCGGGGAGGCCAGCGCUGGGCUCCUGGGGGAGGACGGCCUGUACAGCUGGAGCAGCAGCCUGACUCUCAGCGCCUCCCGCUGGCCCCAGAUCAGCUCAGCACACUGUGAGGCCAGCCACAGCUCCCAGAGGAGCGUCACACGCAUCCUGAGCAGAGAGCAGUGCUCAGACUAGACAGCAGUGGGAUGGGAGUGGACUCUCUCUCCUCUCUACAGUCUCUGUGUCUCAUGUGGAGAUGGAGAGGGCGCUCUGGCUUCGUCUGCUCUCCAUCCCUCCAGUCUGCCUGAUGUGUUGGGUGAUGAGUGUGUUCAUGUUCAGCUAUGAUGCUGUCCUGUUAUUCUUCAUGCUGCACCAAUAAAGAGUCUUGUUGAUGAGG